rnacentral:rRNA from 1 species
GUAGGGUGCGAGCGUUAAUCGGGAAUUACUGGGGCGUAAAGCGUGCGCAGGCGGUUAUGUAAGACAGAUGUGAAAUCCCCCGGGGCUCAACCUGGGGAACUGCAUUUGUGACUGCAUGGCUAGAGUACGGUAGAGGGGGAUGGAAUUCCGCGUGUAGCAGUGAAAUGCGUAGAUAUGCGGAGGAACACCGAUGGCGAAGGCAAUCCCCUGGACCUGUACUGACGCUCAUGCACGAAAGCGUGGGGAGCAAACAGGAUUAGAUACCCUGGUAGUCCACGCCCUAAACGAUGUCAACUGGUUGUUGGGAAUUAGUUUUCUCAGUAACGAAGCUAACGCGUGAAGUUGACCGCCUGGGGAGUACGGCCGCAAAGGUUGA